UACAGAGGACCCAAGCGUUGUUCGGAUUCACUGGGCGUAAAGGGUGCGCAGGUGGUCGGGUAAGUCUGACGUGAAAUCCCGCAGCUUAACUGCGGAAUGGCAUUGGAUACUAUUCGGCUAGAGGGUUGGAAGGGGGACUGGAAUUCUCGGUGUAGCAGUGAAAUGCGUAGAUAUCGAGAGGAACACCAGUGGCGAAGGCGAGUCCCUGGACAACUCCUGACGCUGAGGCACGAAAGCUAGGGGAGCAAACGGG
rnacentral:rRNA from 1 species